AUUGCUUUGGCAGAACAAAUUUCCCGAGUAUUUCAGAUGCACAAAUUUUAUCUCUAUUCUCACAGCUUUAUCUAUUGCAUGCAGACUUUAAAGGUAAACAAAAAUAUCUCAAAUACAGUUAGCCUUCACUUGCAGAGAACUCUCUUUAUACAUUGCCAGAAAUGCAAACAAGCAUCUGUUUGACACCUAGCAAAACAUACAAAAGUCUGAUUCCAGUUCUCAGUGGUUGCCCCAAUUGCAGCUUCUCAUGUUCUUUAAUUACCCAGUUAAGACACUCAGCACCUCAAGCACUGGACCAUGGUUGUUAAGCUCAAGAAAGAGAAGCACAGCAUGGCGACACAGUUAUCCCCAGGAUCUGAACCCAAAUCACUUUUGAUUUUGAAGAUUAAAAUUAGUACUCUUGGACUGAUGGAAAUACAAAGCAACUCAUUGCGUGGGCCACACGUACCAUAUGCAGCCAGUGUGAAUAACUGGACUAUCACAUCCUAGAAAAACUCCUACAUGAUACAAAAAAACCCUGUCAUUAUCAUGCUCUCUUAAAGGAAAGACAGGAAAAAGGUAUCAACAACUGUGAGCAAAAUGUGCAUAUAAUCUGUGAUCAAACAUUCAACAUCAUGAUCAGAUGGCAAUUCAGACCUCUCUGAACCCUCUUUGGUAUCAAUAGCCACUGACAGUGCAUAGAACUCCAUGCCCUAGAAAAGCACAAAUGUUUCAGUAUCCAAAAUGAUAGAAGUAAAAGUUGUUGCCAUUACAGAAUUAUCUCUUCCCAUUUCAAACAGUAAGUCCAAAGCGUAACUGUGAACUCUUUGGUAACAAUUUGUUUAUGAUAGCAUGAUCUUUUUUUCCUCUUGUACUUGCAAUUUUUUGGAUAUGCAUAUAAACUAGUUGAGUUAUUGAACUCCUUUAGUUGUCUGACUGCAUAACUGAUUACAGAUGUAAACAAUCAGCAGACAUGAGCUUUGCAGAUACAAUUAACCACAAAACCAAGAAAUAUAUAAUUCCACAUUCAUAAAAGUUAAAUGCUUAUAAACAAGAAUGCAAACAGGUAUUUGAAAUAUUGGGAAAACUGUAGGGACAGGUUUGGGUUUUUUUGAGAGGAAAUUUGCUUGAAUAUUAUUAUAUAAUAUUUUUGUAAACAAUUUUUAAUUAGUUUAUUAGUUAUUAUUAAGACCACUAUUCUCAGGUAUGUUGUAACUAUAACUGCAUAACUUAAUGACCUUUGAAAGGAAAAUGUUAGAUUUAGACAAAUGCUGUACUUUACCUAAAUUCAGAAUAAUUUAUUUCAUCUUUCAAUUACAGCUGUAAAUUUUACAAAAUUCUGAUUAAGAUCAGAAGCUAGCAAAGAAGAGAUGGCUCCUAAAUCUAGAAUGCACAUAAAUCCCUAGCUGCCCUUUUGUUUUGGAAAGGCAUCCGUUCAAAUAUGGAGUUUAAUCACCCUGGAUUGUUAUGUGUACUUAUUGUGAUCAACACAGUAAGAAGUUAGCAUCUCUGAAUAAUAAAAAGUAUUACUUUGCCUACA
rnacentral:lncRNA from 1 species